rnacentral:tRNA from 1 species
UAAGGGUUAGUUUAAUAAUUAGAAUUGUUGACUGUUGAUCAACGGGUUUUAUCUCUUAG